rnacentral:rRNA from 1 species
UACGGAGGGUGCAAGCGUUAUCCGGAUUUACUGGGUUUAAAGGGUGCGCAGGCGGAUAUGUAAGUCAGUGGUGAAAUCUCUGGGCUUAACCCGGAAAUUGCCAUUGAUACUAUAUAUCUUGAAUGCUGUGGAGGUAAGCGGAAUAUGUCAUGUAGCGGUGAAAUGCUUAGAGAUGACAUAGAACACCUAUUGCGAAGGCAGCUUACUACGCAGAGAUUGACGCUCAUGCACGAAAAGCGUGGGGAUCAAACAGG